rnacentral:rRNA from 1 species
CUACGGGUGGCAGCAGUGGGGAAUCUUGGACAAUGGGCGAAAGCCUGAUCCAGCCAUGCCGCGUGAGUGAAGAAGGCCUUAGGGUUGUAAAGCUCUUUCGGCGGGGACGAUAAUGACGGUACCCGCAGAAGAAGCCCCGGCUAACUCCGUGCCAGCAGCCGCGGUAAUACGGAGGGGGCUAGCGUUGUUCGGAAUUACUGGGCGUAAAGCGCACGUAGGCGGACUGUUAAGUCGGGGGUGAAAUCCUGGGGCUCAACCUCAGAAUUGCCCUCGAUACUGGCAGCCUUGAGUACGGGAGAGGUGAGUGGAAUUCCCAGUGUAGAGGUGAAAUUCGUAGAUAUUGGGAAGAACACCAGUGGCGAAGGCGGCUCACUGGCCCGUAACUGACGCUGAGGUGCGAAAGCGUGGGGAGCAAACAGGAUUAGAUACCCCUGUAGUC